GGUGAUGCACAGUAGUGAGACAGGGACAUGUCUGCCUAAGAAUGUUUGUGAUGGGGUUGAAGAAAUUAGUAGGAAGAACCCCUCUAUAUCUAGUGGUACUGAUCAUGAUAUUGAUACUUGUGGUGAUAGGUGCAGUGACAUUUCUAAGGAUCACAUAUUUGGUACUUCAGAAUCAAAGUCUACCUCUGAAGUUGAAAAUUAC
rnacentral:misc_RNA from 1 species